rnacentral:lncRNA from 13 species
UAACAUAUUUUAAAAUAUGAAAUAUUUUAGAACAUAAAAUACUUUAAAUAGUUUGAAAUAUAAAAUGUAAAUUAUCUCUGGGUGGUAGAAUAUAUUAUAUAAAAUAUACAAAUUUCGGGCCCGGUGCGGUGGCUCAAGCCUGUAAUCCCAGCACUUUGGGAGGCCGAGGUGGGUGGAUCACGAAGUCAAGAGAUCAAGACCAUCCUGGUCAACAUGGUGAAACCCCGUCUCUACUAAAAAUACAAAAAAUUAGCUGGGCAUGGUGGCGCGUGCCUGUAGUCCCAGCUACUCAGGAGGCUGACGCAGGAGAAUUGCCUGAAACCCAGAAGGCGGCGGUUGCCGUGAGCUGAGAUCCCGCCAUUGCACUCCAGCCAGGGAGCCUCACAUUCUCCAUGAGAAGACAUGACUAACACAUCCGCACUUGGAGAGAAAUAUGCCAAAUUAGAUUACUAAUUAGAAACUAUAAACUACAGAAUAAUAAAGCGAUAAUUUAGCCAAGAGAGAAUAACGUGAAAUAAACUCAGCCGGUGACCUAAAGCCGAGCAACAGGCACAGGCGUCCUCAGGGCCUUCUGGAUGGUCGCUUUCACCUCCUGCCUGGGCUACCGAAUCUCCACAAAGAAAAAUGAGUCACCCGACUCAAAAGGGGUGAGGGCAGAGGCUGGGACAAGGCAUGAAAACCUCAGAUAACCAAGUAAAAAAACAAAACAAAGGAAGAAAAAGCAGUAUAAUCUUUCACACCAGAACCAGCCUGCAGCCAGCCAGAUCCCCAGAGAAGAGGCCCCUCAAGGACACAUGGGGUACAUCGAUCUUGUCACCUGGAAUUUGGCAGAUCGACCAGCCCCCUACCAACCUAUCAUACAAUGGCCUGGCAGCUCUCAUCCUUCCACAGGAUUUGCUCAAUGCUGGCUCGGCAGCUGCUGCAGCCACAGUGACAAGCCCUGGGCCUCUAUGGGCUUCCUUCUUCAUCCAGGGCCAAGAUGGGCUGCCUCUCCUGGACUGAGACACAAUGAUGUUCUCUUAAACUAGAAUCAGAGCACAAGCCUACUCCAUCACCAAGAAUCAUGUCAGGGCACAAUCCCAGCCUCCUUCCUUGGGGGCUUUUAAAACACAUUUCUCUUCCCAUCUCUCUGACUCAGGUAUGUAGGUGAGAUUUGACUUUAAAGAAAGGGGAUGGAGUUGGGAGAUGAGGAAUGAGUCCCAGAACCAACUCAGCCCUCUACAACACUGUGCCCUUGUUGGGGGAGAGGCAUCCACACCUCGAACUGUUCCUGGUGAUGGAGGAAAAUGCAGGAGAAAAGGAAAAUAAACAAAAAAAAAAAGGAACCA